AAGAUGUUGUGACGAAAAUUUGAC
rnacentral:snRNA from 1 species